AUUAGGCAAAUCCGGUACUCGUUAAGGCUGAGCUGUGAUGGGGAGAAGACAUUGUGUCUUCGAGUCGUUGAUUUCACACUGCCGAGAAAAGCCUCUAGAUAGAAAAUAGGUGCCCGUACCGCAAACCGACACAGGUAGUCAAGAUGAGAAUUCUAAGGUGAGCGAGCGAACUCUCGUUAAGGAACUCGGCAAAAUGACCCCGUAACUUCGGGAGAAGGGGUGCUCUUUAGGGUUAACGCCCAGAAGAGCCGCAGUGAAUAGGCCCAAGCGACUGUUUAUCAAAAACACAGGUCUCUGCUAAACCGUAAGGUGAUGUAUAGGGGCUGACGCCUGCCCGGUGCUGGAAGGUUAAGAGGAGUGGUUAGCUUCUGCGAAGCUACGAAUCGAAGCCCCAGUAAACGGCGGCCGUAACUAUAACGGUCCUAAGGUAGCGAAAUUCCUUGUCGGGUAAGUUCCGACCCGCACGAAAGGCGUAACGAUUUGGGCACUGUCUCAACGAGAGACUCGGUGAAAUCAUAGUACCUGUGAAGAUGCAGGUUACCCGCGACAGGACGGAAAGACCCCGUGGAGCUUUACUGUAGCCUGAUAUUGAAAUUCGGCACAGCUUGUACAGGAUAGGUAGGAGCCUUUGAAACGUGAGCGCUAGCUUACGUGGAGGCGCUGGUGGGAUACUACCCUAGCUG
rnacentral:rRNA from 1 species